rnacentral:rRNA from 1 species
GUGAAAUUGUUGAAAGGGAAACGAUUGAAGCCAGUCGUACUGACGGGUAAUCAACCUUUCGGGAGUGAUUCUGUGGGUUAUGUUGAGCUUCACGGCCCUCAUGUUCUGCAUAUUCGUCCCCCUUGGGUGUACUUACCUGCUGGUAGGUUAACAUCAAUUUCGGUCGUCAUAAAAUGACGGGAGGAAUGUAGCUUCGAUCUCGGUUGAAGUGUUAUAGCCUCUGGUAGAUGUGAUGAUCGGGAUUGAGGAUUGCAACGGAUACCCUUUGGGCUACCCGCCUGAUUUCUGAUGGUUACUCUGGUGCCGAAAGCGUGCUUACGGUCAUCAAAGUUAAUGGUCAAAAGGUUAGAACGGGUUAAAUUCGUUAAGGAUGUUGACGUAAUGGCUUUAAACGAC